UGUUUAGUUGGCAAAUAAUGUCUCAUUUACACCCCACUGUUCAUCAUUUGUCUUGUGAGCCCAACCAUGGCAGUUCUGCAAAAUAGUUUCUAGUUUCCUGACAGUGAUUUUUGGUGGGAUUUUCUUUCUUAGAGUUAGGUUUUAAAAAAAAAAAUUUAAAAGUAGCAAGUCAAUUGCAUUGCAUGCUUUAUUAUUAUGUAUUUAAUAUUAAUAUAUUUAGCGCCUCUCCUUUUAAAAAAAUUUCAGGGAGAACAACCAUCUGCACAGCCAAUCAGAGCAGAGGGGGUGGAUUCUCGCAACAAGCGGAGUCAUCACAUGUGCGACCUGUGUGAGAAGUUGAUCAUUGGUGACUUAGAAUGGACGGCACACCAGAAACCAUCUUUAUCAAGUCCGCACGAGGAGAAAAGCCGAGCAGGCCUCAGAUCAGGACCCAAACGCUACCAAACAUCAAAAAUGUCAGUGACAGGCAGGUACCUGUACUAUAGCGCUCCCCUCUUUGGAUCUCUUGGGGUCGAGCUCACAGACGGACCAAAGAAAUGAAGUGCUCAUAAUGUAUUUUUUUAGAUCAGUGGAAGAAGGAUGCUUUCAGUUUGACUGGUUGGCAGUGAGCAGCAGUGAUACUUCAACUCUCCCUUUGGAGUAGCAGAACACACUUAAGGUUCUGUGAUUUUUGGACACCCAUAUUUGAUUUUUUUUCCAUCUGCCAAAGACCAAAGGGUACGGCUGAUUUCUGGAUUUGGAUUCUUGUGCUGGACAGAUGUCUUCCCCGCUGCUAUUUUGUCUGAGCGGUGCACUUUAUAACCACAUCUAACCGCAUCUGAUGCUCUUUUAAACCACACUGUGGCGAGCUAUGCCUAACCUCUUUGGCUGUUCUGACUGAAUUCGAAAUGCAUCACUGCUGAUGUUGGAUUACUGGAUCAAAUUUUUCCCUGCAGAUCAAGAAUGGAGGUUAUUUUUUCGUUAUUAAAUUUGGUGCCAGAUUUUAUUUGGAAGUCUUAAAUUUUGUAAUUGUCUGAUCAGUUUGGGUCAGAAUGUAACAAUGACUUCAAGCGGACUUUCUUCCUCAGGAUUGCCA
ensembl:lncRNA